rfam:Picea glauca, whole genome shotgun sequence.
AUGUAUAUGCCUACAACAUGCACCAGAUCCCAUUAGAACUAUGUAACUAAACAUGCUUGGGUAAGGUAGUAUUGGAAUGUGUAACCUCCCAUGAAGUCCUAUUGUCUUACAUG